UUUGUCCUACGGGACGCAGCAGUGAGGAAUAUUGGUCAAUGGUCGGGAGACUGAACCAGCCAAGCCGCGUGAGGGAUGAAGGUACAGAGUAUCGUAAACCUCUUUUGUCAGGGAACAAAGGCGGGGACGCGUCCCCGGAUGAGUGUAACUGAAGAAAAAGCAUCGGCUAACUCCGGGCCAGCAGCCGCGGUAAAACGGAGGAUGCGAGCGUUAUCCGGAUUUAUUGGGUUUAAAGGGUGGGCAGGCGGUCUGUUA
rnacentral:rRNA from 1 species